rnacentral:misc_RNA from 1 species
UCCGGUUCUUCACCGGCAGUCUCCCUGGAGUCCCCGCCUUUACGCGCUGGCAACCAGGGACAAGGGUUGCGCUCGUUACGGGACUUAACCCAACAUCUCACAACACGAGCUGACGACAGCCAUGCAGCACCUGUCUCAUAGUUCCUUUCGGCACUUCUGCAUCUCUGCAAAAUCCUAUGGAUGUCAAGGGUAGGUAAGGUUCUUCGCGUUGCAUCGAAUUAAACCACAUGCUCCACCGCUUGUGCGGGCCCCCGUCAAUUCCUUUGAGUUUUAACCUUGCGGUCGUACUCCCCAGGCGGAGAACUUAUCGCGUUAGCUUCGAUACCAGAGGGUCAAGCCCUCCAACAUCCAGUUCUCAUCGUUUACAGCGUGGACUAC